rnacentral:rRNA from 1 species
AAACGGGUGGCGUCAAGCUGCAAGCCGGGAGGAUUCAGCCGAUUAGGGUGUCAUCAUGCGCCAGGCGUAUGUUUCAGUCGGAGUGAGUCUGGGUGGUCCACUGGAAGACAGUGGGUCCCGCCGCCGCAAGGUGGUGGGAUGUGUGUACCGGGUGUUAGCCGGAGCACGCUGCUCGUCUGCUGGACUGUCCUAGUCGGUGCACUUUCUCUCAUAACAUGGCUAACACCACGACCGGUGGUACUGCCAGUCUGCUAUGGUCAAGUCGUGCUCGGCGUGGGUGCACCUCGGUGUGCCUUACUGGGUGCGAUCACGGGCGAAUUCGGUAGACGGCGUCGGCAUUUGCCUUGCGCGGUGUCGUCGCGUUAUCGGCUACUGGUCGUCUUAACAACGGGCUGUCUGUCGACGUCGAAGCCGUCGUGUUUCUGGAUGGUUCGGUGGACUGUAGCGGUAGGAAUAACUGUGCAGGGCACCGGAGUGAUCGGCCUCAAAUGCGGUCGACAUGCACGCUUCGAGUGUGCUCUCCCCUUCUAUCGGGGAAUGUGGGUGGCGCUGCGGCCUGCCUGUCUUUUUGUCGAGCGUGACUGUCGUGUUGCCCGCGCAAAGUGGGCCCGGCGGUGGCUUGGCACAGGUUGGUGUCGUACCCUUAGCGUUGCCUGCGUGUGUCGAUCGUGGUGGGCCUGAUAGUCUGUGGUGUGGUGGUAGACGAGCUACCCGACCCGUCUUGAAACACGGACCAAGGAGUUUAACUUGUGUGCAAGUCACUGGGUCCUACGAAACCCAAAGGCGCAAUGAAAGUGAAGCCUCGUGUGUGUGCGUCCGCGCGCGCGCACGGGGUGAGGUGAGAUCCUGCUGUUACUCGCAUCCGCGCCAGCACCUGGCACGAAAGAGCAGUGGGCGCAUCACCGGCCCGUCCCAUGAUGUGGCCAUUGGAAUAGGGCUGCCGCGACCUCGUGUCUGCGGUGUGUACCUCCAGUGCGUCAUCGGGGCGGAGCAUGAGCACACAGGUUAUGACCCGAAAGAUGGUGAACUAUGCUUGCGUAGG